AGUUCGCCCCCUUAUCUGAACUCCAUUUGUUCUCUCUCAUGGCGAAUGCCCUCCGAAGUUGGGCUCCGAGGGCACCAUUGAAGGCUCGUACAGCUCUCUCGUCAAACUCCCUCAAACCCUUUUAUGCGUCCUUCCCUAGUCACUUUCGAUCAUCAAGGUUCCCAAUUCAGACCCACAAACCAGCUGCCUGGAUUCACCCCAGAAACCAUCGUGCGGUUCUGCUUGGCGGCAUUAGGUGCAUGGCAAAGCCGCGCAGAGUGGCAAUGGUGGCAAAGCAGAUACAGAGGGAGCUCUCUGACAUGCUCUUAACUGAUAAGGUGUUGCAAUACGCUAUUUUGCCUGAGGUUUCUUUGGGCGCUGACCGUUAUCUCUCUUCUUUGACCACAAUUAGUGAUGUUGAGGUCUCUACCGACUUGCAGGUGGUAAAGGUAUUUGUAUCCGUCUUUGGUGAUGAAAGAGGGAAGGAGGUUGCCCUUGCUGGGCUAAAGUCAAAAGCAAAGUAUGUCCGUGGUGAAUUGGGACGGCGUAUGAAACUGCGUUUGACUCCUGAGAUACGCUUCAUUGAAGAUGAAUCGUUAGAGAGAGGAAGCAGGGUGAUUGCAAUAUUAGAUCGGAUAAAGAAUGAUAAGAAAGAUGGACAAAUGCAAGAUGAGGAGCAAUUGGAAUCAUCUGACAGUCUUCAGGAUGAUAAAGAUUGGGAGGAUGAUGAUCCUGAUGAAGACAUUAUAUACAUAAAGUAGUUUGUCUGCUACUUGCAUUAGGCUUCUUCAAAUUUAGACAUCGAUUUGCUUAUCCUCCAGGCUACUACCAAGAUAGCCACUGCGAAUCUGGACAGAAGCAACUCUUCCCAAUUGUACCCAUCAUCUGAAUUAAAAGCUUCAAGCCUUCAACCACGUCGCACCUUACUUCAAAUAUUUGUGCUUUUCUUCCAGUGGCUUUUUUUUUUUUUUUGGUUUGUCUAUGUAGGUUUAUGUGACUCAACUGUGUUAGAUAGUCGAGGAGUUUACUCAAGAUGCAUUUCGUAGGCCUUGAGAUUUUCUUCUGUUUUCUGUUGCACUAUAUACAAGUACUGGUAAUGAUCAAUGAGGCAAUCCACUCAUUCAAUGACUAAACCUCAUUGCUGGAGUGAAACUGAAAACUUGGUGUAGGAGCAUUUUACCUAAGCCUUCACAGAACACU